UCUCGGCAUUUCGAACCACAAUCUCUUCUCUCGUAUAGAAAAGAUUAUAGAAGAGAUCAAUGUUUCCCCAGCUGAAGUUGCCGGUGAACUAAUGAAGUCCAAAGAUCCCAAAACUUGUCUGGAGGGCCUUAUUGAGCUCCUGGAAAGCAAGGUAAUUUAAUCUCCAACCAAUUCAUGUUGAUGUAUUAAACUGCCAGAAAAAGAGGGGUAGGGGCAAUGCAGGAAAAACAAGAAAGUAAAGCAUUGAAUCAUAGUUGUCAUUACAUCAUCGUUUGAUGUAAGGGCUUACACAUGAAAGUAGGUGAGCCCAUGUGUUAGUGUCAAAUAAAGCAGCAUGUCUGAAUGACAUCACCAGUUCACUGCCACCACCCAAACGGGUCCCUCCCCUUAUUUUAUUUUGCAGUGUCU
rnacentral:lncRNA from 1 species